CAUCAUCAUCAUCUUUUUCUUUAGAAAACCCAAUCUCGUGGAUGCUAUUCAUUACUCUAGAAGUCCGAUUUCGAAAGCUCAAAUCAGAAAACUUCCUUCAUCAAAGUUGUUCGUCUGCUCGAAUACUAUAACAUAUCCAAAACUGAGCAUCAUCAGAUCAGUCUAGCUACCUCAAACCGGCUAUGACAUUUCUGUGGUCAUCCAUGGCUGGUGAGUUUCUGCAGCUCGGUUUUCAACAGUUUUAUUUAAUCUCCAGUGCUCGAUUGACAAAACGUCCUUCUCCAAGGUUGUUCCUCAGUUUGAGAACUAUAACAUAUCCAAAAAUAGUGGCAAUCCAACAAGUGUAGCUUUCUCGGCAGUGGUACAACUGAAACAAGCUUUUGUUAGUUUUCAAGUGUUGUUUGAGUUGGUUAUUAGCUUCACCCAGGAUUUCGAACCAAUAUUAAGUUGCCAGCAAGAAGUAAAAUAGAAUUGGAAAGCUGUUAAAUUUCUUCUGGGUGUUGCUGUUGUUUGAUUUUGCUGUUUUCCGUUUUGGUUGAGAGCUAAAGCGAGUGGAAAGAACCUUUGCAUAUUGCAGCUUGUGUUUAGUGGUGGUAUUAAGUUUGCUUCGAAACUUGCAAUUUGAAACUAUAGCUUCUCAGAGCACCUCCCCUGCUCUUCUUGUUUGAUUUGCUUUGAAGACAAUCCUAUUGCUCGAAUGUUUUCAGUUGGUACUUGUCAUCACAAUUAUUGCUUGUCUUGUAUAAAACAUCAUGUGUGAUAUGCCCUGAGCAGGAGUUUAGUUUUGCUUUUGGUCCCGUGUGGUCUUAUGUGCUGUUGUACAAAUUGCUGGCUCAUUAUAUUAAUGUUCUGUUGCUUAAGCACGAAAAGUUUGGUGUAGCUGUGGGUAAGAUCAAGGACAUGGGAUUUAAUUUGGAAAAUGUGAAUAGGCUGAAAUUAUAAAGUGGAGAGCUAAGGGUGGUGUUUUUGGUAAUAGUUGUUAAGCUCCCUCCCUUACAGAGGAAAUUAUACAAGAGAUUUCUUGAUGUGCAUGGAUUUGCUAAUGACAAGGUUUACAAUGAAAAGAUAAGGAAGAGAAGUUUUGUUUUGGGAUAAAUCUCCAUGCUGCUAAUCGUGUAAUCAUAGUUGAUGGUUCUUGGACUCCGUCACACGAUCUUCAGGCUAUAUACCGUGCUUGCAGGCAUCAGAGGCCAAACUGAACCCCAGGAAGGACUUUCAAGAAGUCCAGCUAGCUCGGACCAGCACCAGUAGUCGACUUAGCUCCGCAGCUGUGCCGGAUCGUGUGCUCACGAGCCUUGAGCCAUUGUAGGAUUUCUUCAUCCUGUUUUCCUUGAACUUUGUUUCUGUUGUAUUUAAACUCCUUAGAUAUGCUCUGUUAUCGCCCUUGUAGGGUUGAUCUUCGAGGCCGGAGGCCUUUGUUGUAAACUGUUUAAUUGCUUUAAAGCAUGCUGCUGGUUGAGUACCUUAAACUGUGUUUUUGAGCA